CAAAAUGUGAAGAGGACUCUCACAAAAUAUGUCAACGAGCACCAGGACAACUGGGACGUCCACCUGCAGGCCAUAGUUUAUGGCAUCAACACUGCAAAGCAGGCACCCCCGUCUACCUGAGGCAUUGAAUGCCUGCGAAACAGAUGCCACCUCUCUAGAGUUGGCAGACCCAGACGAGGAGAUGGAGCUGAAGGUGGCUGGGGUCAAGGCCCUCAAUGAACAGGUAAGGAAGAAUAUUGAACGGGCUCAAGCCAAACAAAA